rnacentral:rRNA from 1 species
AUGAAGGCCAUGAGUCUAACACGGGGUCUUGUAGACACGAUCGCUGCUGGUGAGUCAUGUGGUGAUCGGAUUGGUAAAAGGAUUGUGCUCCCAAGGACAUUUCCUGGUGGUGAUAGAGAUAUGCAGAGAAGGUUCCUAGAUGCAAUUGCCAUAGUGCAGCGAUGGGGUAAACUAGAUUACUUCAUCACAAUGACAUGCAACCCAUACUGGGAGGAGAUAACAACAGAGUUGAUGCCCGGACAACUACCACAUGAUUGA